GAUGAACGCUGGCGGCGUGCCUAAUACAUGCAAGUCGAGCGAACGGACGAGAAGCUUGCUUCUCUGAUGUUAGCGGCGGACGGGUGAGUAACACGUGGAUAACCUACCUAUAAGACUGGGGUAACUUCGGGAAACCGGAGCUAAUACCGGAUAAUAUUUUGAACCGCAUGGUUCAAAAGUGAAAGACGGUCUUGCUGUCACUUAUAGAUGGAUCCGCGCUGCAUUAGCUAGUUGGUAAGGUAACGGCUUACCAAGGCAACGAUGCAUAGCCGACCUGAGAGGGUGAUCGGCCACACUGGAACUGAGACACGGUCCAGACUCCUACGGGAGGCAGCAGUAGGGAAUCUUCCGCAAUGGGCGAAAGCCUGACGGAGCCACGCCGCGUGAGUGAUGAAGGUCUUCGGAUCGUAAAACUCUGUUAUUAGGGAAGAACAUAUGUGUAAGUAACUGUGCACAUCUUGACGGUACCUAAUCAGAAAGCCACGGCUAACUACGUG
rnacentral:rRNA from 1 species